GAGCUCACUUUGGCAGCACAUGUGCUAAAAUUGGAACGAUGUAGAGAUUAGCAUGGCCCCUGUGCAAGGAUGACAUGCACACUUGUAAAGUGUUCCAUAUAUAA
rnacentral:snRNA from 1 species